UCCUCAUUGGGAUCCUUUCCGUCAGCUAGUUGUGGUUUAUGGAGUCAUGUGAGAAGACAGUCCACAAGAACUAGCAUUGCAUUACCUUCUGCUUUUACUAGAUAUACUUGGCUGUUUUGUGAGCUAUUC
rnacentral:snoRNA from 1 species